GUCCCCCUGUAGCGUAAUGAAUAGCGUGUUGGAUUUCCAAUCCAAAGGUCGUGAGUUCGAAUCCCACCUGGGAUA
rnacentral:tRNA from 1 species